AGAGCUGAAAGUCCCACAGCUUUCAAUGGUUAAUAGCCAGAACUAGAAGUAAGGUCUUUUGUUUAAGAACACUAAGACUUCCUGAGCCUCGGUAAAUAAUCGUGAAGGGUCUGGCGAGGACCUGGUUAUGUCCUAGGGAAUGCACAGAUUCCGAGCAGCCUGGGUAAACUGAGGCAGAUCAGGGAAGUGGAUGCUCUCAACACCUCCAGCUGUUCCUUUCCACUGAAGGGCGUCUCAGCCCUUUCACCUUUGAUGUUCCUGGUAUCUCAUUCUAGGGGUGAAAAGCCACAGGCAUCGCACAGCACGCACAGCACGCCAGUAACGGAUGCUUCACUGUUUACACCUGGGUUAGUUACCGCUCCUAGCCCAGCUCUACCAAGUCCCAUUCUGAAACCAUGGGAGCCACAUCUCCCAUAGGUGCUCCAGCACGCCUGCCUCCCAGACCCCACCAAGGAAGGUCCAUUAAACUCUGUCUGCAAUGCUCAGUGGCUUCCCCAGCCCAGAACAGAGUUCCAAAUCUUCCCACAUUAUCAAAAACAAACAAACAAAAACAACAAACAAAACAAAAUAAUAAAGAAAAAAGAAAAACUAGUUCCAAGGGCCGGAGAAGCACGUGGUCAGGUGUGUUGACCACAGCAAUGGCCCAACCAACAUCUGUAUUGUUACUAAUUGUCUCGUUUGCUACGACAGAACACCUGACUUAACGCUAUUACGGUAUUAUCAAGGAGUACUCGAAGGAAAAGGGCUUCAUUUUUGCCUCUCUGUUCCUGUCCUCCGUAAAGACAGAGACUUGAGGUCACAUGAUGUCUGCUAGUUCUCUUUCUCUUUUUCAUGUAAAGACACCAGCGUGUUGAAUGGAGUCACCUACAGUUAAGGAGGGUCUUCCCACCCCAGUUACCCUGAUCUAAAU
rnacentral:lncRNA from 1 species